UACGUAGGGUGCAAGCGUUGUCCGGAAUUAUUGGGCGUAAAGAGCUCGUAGGCGGUCCGUCACGUCGGCUGUGAAAACUCGGGGCUCAACCCCGAGCCUGCAGUCGAUACGGGCGGACUAGAGUCCGGCAGGGGAGACUGGAAUUCCUGGUGUAGCGGUGAAAUGCGCAGAUAUCAGGAGGAACACCGGUGGCGAAGGCGGGUCUCUGGGCAGUAACUGACGCUGAGGAGCGAAAGCGUGGGGAGCGAACAGG
rnacentral:rRNA from 1 species